rnacentral:rRNA from 1 species
AGUGAACGCUGGCGGUAGGCCUAACACAUGCAAGUCGAACGGCAGCACAGUAAGAGCUUGCUCUUACGGGUGGCGAGUGGCGGACGGGUGAGGAAUACAUCGGAAUCUACUUUUUCGUGGGGGAUAACGUAGGGAAACUUACGCUAAUACCGCAUACGACCUACGGGUGAAAGCAGGGGAUCUUCGGACCUUGCGCGAUUGCAUGAGCCGAUGUCGGAUUAGCUAGUUGGCGGGGUAAAGGCCCACCAAGGCGACGAUCCGUAGCUGGUCUGAGAGGAUGGUCAGCCACACUGGAACUGAGACACGGUCCAGACUCCUACGGGAGGCAGCAGUGGGGAAUAUUGGACAAUGGGCGCAAGCCUGAUCCAGCCAUACCGCGUGGGUGAAGAAGGCCUUCGGGUUGUAAAGCCCUUUUGUUGGGAAAGAAAAGCAGCAGGUUAAUACCCCGCUGUUCUGACGGUACCCAAAGAAUAAGCACCGGCUAACUUCGUG